CCUGGUGGGGAGUGGCGAACGGGUGAGUAAUACAUCGCAACGUGUCCUGUAGUGGGGGAUAGCUCGGCGAAAGCCGGAUUAAUACCGCAUACGAUCUACGGAAGAAAGCGGGGGAUCCUUCGGGACCUCGCGCUAUAGGGGCGGCCGAUGGCAGAUUAGCUAGUUGGUGGGGUAAAGGCCUACCAAGGCGACGAUCUGUAGCUGGUCUGAGAGGACGACCAGCCACACUGGGACUGAGACACGGCCCAGACUCCUACGGGAGGCAGCAGUGGGGAAUUUUGGACAAUGGGGGCAACCCUGAUCCAGCCAUGCCGCGUGCGGGAAGAAGGCCUUCGGGUUGUAAACCGCUUAUGUCAGGGAAGAAAUGGACUUUCUAAUACAAGAGUUCGAUGACGGUACCUGGAGAAUAAGCACCCGCUAACUACGUGCCAGCAGCCGCGGUAAUACGUAGGGUGCAAGCGUUAAUCGGAAUUACUGGGCGUAAAGCGUGCGCAGGCGGUUAUGUAAGACAGUUGUGAAAUCCCCGGGCUCAACCUGGGAACUGCAUCUGUGACUGCAUAGCUAGAGUACGGUAGAGGGGGAUGGAAUUCCGCGUGUAGCAGUGAAAUGCGUAGAUAUGCGGAGGAACACCGAUGGCGAAGGCAAUCCCCUGGACCUGUACUGACGCUCAUGCACGAAAGCGUGGGGAGCAAACAGGAU
rnacentral:rRNA from 1 species